ACGGGAGCCGAUGUUCAAUUUGUUCUUAUAUAUCCAGUCAUCCAGCCCCGGCUAUAAGGGUGUGCAAACAUCCCAAUAGAACAGGGCCCCAAAUUUCUAGGGCCCCCAAAUAUAUCUGGCCCAUUAUACAUAUAUACACAUUAUAUCACCUAAAAAAACAAGCCUCGUCAAAACUCUGUCUUCGAAACUCACGCUGUCAUUACGGAGACUACAUCGGCAGGGUGUAUCUAUAUAUCAAAUUCUACACUUUUAUUGCUUGAAUCAAUCUUCCGGCUUCAAUUACCCAUGGCUAUUAACUUCAAUUUCAACGCUUAUUCAGAAAGAUUAGAUAGCAUACUUGAUUUUACUGAGUUGAGCCUCAAAGUGGUGGUCUGGAGAGUCUGGUGGAAUUUAGGCCUUGGUUUUUAUCAGUGGACUCGUGAACUAAGUAUCCAGAGCCAGACUCAUGAACUUCUCUCGGGCUUUUUCUCUCGGGUUUUUCUAUUCCAUUUGAUUUUUAAUAAUAUUUUAUUUGCCUGGUUUUUGCUUGUUUUUUACUUGUUUGUGUGGAUAUUUUUAAUUAUGCCUCCUAAAAUUAGAAAAUAUGAUUCUGGGCACGAAAAGCGCAUGAAAAAGAAAAGAGCCGAAGCAUUAGUUGAAUCUCAAAGACGAUCUCUUAAUAAAUUGAAGUUGUUGAAGUCUUAUUUGCGAUCCACAAUGCUUCAAGAUCGACUCAACGGAUUGGCGCUAAUUGCAAUUGAGAACGACAUUUUGGAGACUGUAGAAUACGAAGACUUGAUUGAUGAUUUUGCUUCAAAGAGUGUUCGAAGAAUGACACUCUUUAAAUAAAAAGUUAGCAUUAAGUUGGUUUUGUACAAAAACUUUAUUAUGGGGCCACAUUUUUUUAUAUAGCACAGGGCUCCUGAAAUGUUUAAGACGGCCCUGCAGUCAUCUGCAGAACUGGUGAAUGAAAUAGCCAAUGUUGAGGGUGCACAGAUAUACUUGGAAUGGUAUCUUAUUUCACUCCA